rnacentral:rRNA from 1 species
GACGAGGGGUCCUAGCGUUGUUCGGAAUCAUUGGGCGUAAAGCGUGUGUAGGCGGCCUUGUAAGUCAGUUGUGAAAGCCCCGGGCUCAACCUGGGAACCGCGCUUGAGACUGGCAUGCUCGAGUUCGGGAGAGGAUGGUGGAAUUCCCAGUGUAGAGGUGAAAUUCGUAGAUAUUGGGAAGAACACCGAUGGCGAAGGCAGCCAUCUGGACCGACACUGACGCUGAGGCGCGAAAGCGUGGGGAGCAAACAGG